rnacentral:rRNA from 1 species
UACGUAGGGUGCAAGCGUUGUCCGGAAUUAUUGGGCGUAAAGAGCGCGCAGGCGGUCUGCCAAGUCAGAUGUGAAAUAUCCCGGCUUAACCGGGAGGGGUCAUUUGAAACUGGUAGACUAGAGUACAGCAGAGGAUAGUGGAAUUCCCGGUGUAGUGGUGAAAUGCGUAGAUAUCGGGAGGAACACCAGUGGCGAAGGCGACUAUCUGGGCUGAAACUGACGCUGAGGCGCGAAGGCUAGGGGAGCAAACAGG